rnacentral:rRNA from 1 species
UACGUAGGGGGCGAGCGUUGUCCGGAAUCAUUGGGCGUAAAGCGCGUGUAGGCGGCCCGGUAAGUCCGCUGUGAAAGUCCCAGGGCUCAACCCUGGGAUGCCGGUGGAUACUGUCGGGCUCGAGUCCGGAAGAGGCGAGUGGAAUUCCGUGGUGUAGCGGUGAAAUGCGCAGAUAUCAGGAGGAACACCAAUAGGCGAAGGCAGCUCGCUGGGACGUGACUGACGCUGAGACGCGAAAGCGUGGGGAGCAAACAGG